GGGAAAGAUUUUGAUCGCGUGAGAAAGAAGCCAUUUGGAAAGCAGGAUUGCUGUAGGAUCUGAAAGAUCUCAUCCUGUAGGAUUUGACCAUGCAUCUUUGAACUUGAAUCUCUAGAGAUGAAUGGGCUGGUCUUCACUACAGGGAGAUCAACGCUGAGAUCAAUGGCAGAGCACUUUCCAGUCAACCUUGGUACUCCACCUCUCCGAGAAGAGUAAGAUUUUCAGGCUCUCUGAGGUGCCAGCGCUGAAGAAGCUACUUAGCAUACUAGCAUUAGGUACAAAGCAAAAGCCUUUCACUUCAGGGACCGUGCUUCAAUUCUGACCUUAGGUCAUAGAGGAAAUAAGAUAGGUAAUCUCAGCUCUGUCCCUAAUGACCAGUAUUCCACAUCACAAUGCUACACAUGGCUGUCAACCUCUACUCAGAAG
rnacentral:lncRNA from 1 species